rnacentral:rRNA from 1 species
AACGAACGCUGGCGGCAGGCUUAACACAUGCAAGUCGAGUGAGACCUUCGGGUCUAGCGGCGGACGGGUGAGUAACGCGUGGGAACGUGCCCUUCUCUACGGAAUAGCCCCGGGAAACUGGGAGUAAUACCGUAUACGCCCUUUGGGGGAAAGAUUUAUCGGAGAAGGAUCGGCCCGCGUUGGAUUAGGUAGUUGGUGGGGUAAUGGCCCACCAAGCCGACGAUCCAUAGCUGGUUUGAGAGGAUGAUCAGCCACACUGGGACUGAGACACGGCCCAGACUCCUACGGGAGGCAGCAGUGGGGAAUCUUAGACGAUGGGGGCAACCCUGAUCUAGCCAUGCCGCGUGAGUGAUGAAGGCCUUAGGGUUGUAAAGCUCUUUCAGCUGGGAAGAUAAUGACGGUACCAGCAGAAGAAGCCCCGGCUAACUCCGUG